GCGGAUGUAGUUCAUUGGUAGAACUCCGGCUUCCCAAGCCGGCAGGGCGGGUUCGAUUCCCGUCAUCCGCUCCA
rnacentral:tRNA from 1 species